UAAUCCUUCCAUUUUCAUAUUUCUUUUUCUUAUUUAAAAUAUUUUCUUCGUCCAUAAAAUUACCCAAAAAUAUUUUUCACUUUUCUUAACGUUUUAUUUAAUUUUAUAUAAUUUUUAUUUUCGUAUUUUUUUAAUAUUAAUAUUUUAUUUUAAUUAUUUAUUCUAAAUGAUCCAUUUUAACACACUUUUUUUUAUUGAUUUUAUUUUUAUGACUUAAAA
rnacentral:lncRNA from 1 species